UACUAUUUAUUAAUUUUCAGUCAAAACAUGAUUGCUAUUUCAAUAUAAUAUAUUAUGUGCAAAGUACACUGAUAAAACAGAAGUACUAGUGGUUAUUUCUCAUCACUUUUAGUUUCAAAUGUAUUAUACUAUCAUACCAUAAAAAUAUAUAAGCUUGUAUAGUGCUUAUUUAAUGAAUGACAAAAAAAUGAUUUAAUGAAACUGUCAUGAUAAAAAACUGUCUUUUACAGAUCAAAAUAACUAUUAAAUAUUAAGCAUAUAAACACAUGACAAAUGCAUAGUACAAAAGUUUAUACAAAUAAAAGAAAUGAUUGUUUAAAGCAGUAAGUAUGGGUUAACAAAUAAAA
rnacentral:lncRNA from 1 species